UACGAAGGGUGCAAGCGUUACUCGGAAUUACUGGGCGUAAAGCGUGCGUAGGUGGUUUGUUAAGUCUGAUGUGAAAGCCCUGGGCUCAACCUGAGAAUUGCAUUGGAUACUGGCAGGCUAGAGUGCGGUAGAGGAUGGCGGAAUUCCCGGUGUAGCAGUGAAAUGCGUAGAGAUCGGGAGGAACAUCUGUGGCGAAGGCGGCCAUCUGGACCAGCACUGACACUGAGGCACGAAAGCGUGGGGAGCAAACAGG
rnacentral:rRNA from 1 species